CUACGGGCGGCAGCAGUGAGGAAUAUUGGUCAAUGGGGGAAACCCUGAACCAGCGACGCCGCGUGUGGGAUGACAGAGCUUUGCUCCGUAAACCACUGUCAGAUGGGAGUAAAAGCGGGCUUUACCCGCUGGGAAAGUACCAUCAGAGGAAGGACCGGCUAACUACGUGCCAGCAGCCGCGGUAAUACGUAGGGUCCAAGCGUUGUCCGGAAUUACUGGGUGUAAAGGGUGCGUAGGCGGGCAUGUACGUCAGGGGUUAAAUACCACGGCUCAACUGUGGAGCUGCCCUUGAUACGGCGUGUCUUGAAUACGAGAGAGGAUAGUAGAAUUCCUGGUGUAGCGGUGAAAUGCGUAGAUAUCAGGAGGAAUACCAGUGGCGAAGGCGGCUAUCUGGCUCGUUAUUGACGCUGAGGCACGAAAGCGUGGGGAGCGAACAGGAUUAGAUACCCCUGUAGUC
rnacentral:rRNA from 1 species